AUGGCCGUGGCGCCGUUUCCGCCGCCGCCUCUCCUCGCCUCGCACGCCGCCGUCCGAGCCGCAGCCUCACGCGUCGUCGCAUCCCGGCCUAUCCGCGUCGCCGGCGAAGACUGCCACCACCACCCGCCGCAGGUCGCGGCCCUCCGGCGCGGCGACUGGGUGAAGCUCAUCUGCGGCGCCAGCUUCGAGGAUGCUGCCGAUGUCCGGAAUCUCUCCCUUGUCUACACGCUGGCUGGAGUGGAUUGCAUUGAUUGUGCAGCAGAUGCAUCUGUAGUCAGUGCGGUGAAUGAAGGUAUUGAUGUAGCAGCCUCAAUUGUACCAGAAGUUCAAAGGCCUUGGGUGAUGGUUAGCGUUAAUGAUGAUUGCAGAGAUAUUCAUUUCCGCAAAGCUGGAUUUGAUCCUGAAGAUUGCCCACCGAAUUGCUCAAAGCCAUGUGAGAAAGUUUGUCCUGCUGAUGCAAUAUCACUAAAGAGGGUCAUGGUUGGAGAACAUGCUCAGUCCGAUCCAAUAUGUGAUAAACUUGAGGGUGGUGUCAUUAUGGAACGAUGCUAUGGCUGCGGUAGAUGCUUAUCAGUUUGCCCUUAUGACAGAAUAAGUGCUAUGUCCUAUGUACGAGAUCCUGCCACGACAGCUGAACUGUUGAAAAGGAGUGAUGUUGAUGCAAUAGAAAUACAUACCACUGGAAAGGGAAUUGGUAUGUUUAGUACGCUCUGGAACAGCUUGGGUGAGUCAAUCAAUAAUGUGAAGUUGGUCGCAGUAAGCCUGCCUAAUGCUGGUGCAUCAACAAUUGAUUUCAUGAAUGCAACAUAUACGAUAAUGCAGUCUAAUCUGGAAGGGUAUAAUCUUUGGCAGUUAGAUGGUCGUCCUAUGAGUGGUGACAUCGGUCGAGGUGCAACAAGGGAAACUGUUUCUUUUGCUGUUGAUCUGACUUCAGUACAAGAUAGGCCUCUUGGCUUUUAUCAGCUGGCUGGUGGCACCAACUUAUACACUGUAGAUUGCUUAAAGAAAGCUGGCCUUUUCAUGGCUAGGACUUUACCUGGGACAAGAACUACUGAAAAGGUUGGUUCCCAGGAAGCUCUAAUAGGAGGAAUAGCUUAUGGUGGCUAUGCUCGCAAGAUUGUUGGAAGAGUUCUGCGCAAAAUACCAUCAGAACUUGGGCGCGUACGCAUCGAGGAUCAUCCAGGAUAUCUCCUAGAGGCAUUGCAGGAAGCCUUGUCCUUAGUAGGCCCUGUGAAGGGUUAUUCAGCUCUGGAAACAUGA
rnacentral:rRNA from 1 species